AUGGAAAAACUAAACAAUGUGACUGUGUUCAUUUUCUUGGGCCUCUCUCAGAAUCCAGAGGUGGAAGAAGUGUGCUUCGUGGUGUUUUCUUUCUUCUAUGCUGUAAUUCUUCUGGGAAACCUUCUCAUCAUGCUGACAGUAUGCACAGGCAAUCUUUUCAAGUCUCCUAUGUAUUUCUUUCUCAACUUUUUGUCUUUUGUAGAUAUCUGUUACUCUUCAGUGACAGCUCCCAAGAUGAUUGUUGACCUACUAGCCAAGAGUAAGACGAUCUCCUAUGUGGGGUGCAUGUUGCAACUCUUCGGGGUGCAUUUCUUUGGUUGUACUGAAAUCUUCAUCCUGACUGUUAUGGCCUAUGAUCGCUACGUGGCCAUCUGCAAACCCCUGCACUACAUGACCAUUAUGGAUCGAGAGAGAUGCAAUAAAAUGUUGCUCGGGACCUGGGUCGGUGGGUUCAUGCACUCCAUAAUCCAGGUGGCUUUGGUGGUCCAGCUACCCUUUUGUGGACCUAAUGAGAUUGAUCACUACUUUUGCGACGUCCACCCCGUGCUGAAACUGGCAUGCUCAGACACAUAUGUUGUUGGUGUUGUUGUGACAGCCAACAGCGGGACCAUUGCCCUAGGGAGCUUUGUGAUCUUGCUAAUCUCCUACACUGUCAUCCUGGUGUCCCUGAGAAAGCAGUCUGCAGAAGGCAGGCGCAAAGCUCUCUCCACCUGUGGCUCCCACAUUGCCGUGGUCAUCAUCUUCUUUGGUCCCUGUACUUUCAUGUACAUGCGCCCUGACACUACCUUUUCUGAGGAUAAGAUGGUGGCUGUAUUUUAUACAAUUAUCACGCCCAUGUUGAACCCCCUGAUUUAUACGCUGAGAAAUGCAGAAGUGAAAAAUGCAAUGAAGAAAUUGUGGAGCAAGAAGAUUUUCUGGGAGGCGAAUAGCAAAUAGUUUGAAAUCAUUAUACUUUCAGCAAGACGACUUUCAUUUUCUUCAAUCCUGUUUAAGGCAUCUGUUGAGUUAAUUCAAGGUACCAACUUUGCAGAGCCCCUUUGGGAAUACACCUAUGGUGCAUCUUUUCUCAAAUCCAUCGCUGUCAAGUUGGUACUGACUCAUAGCUGA